GUGGGGAAUCUUGCGCAAUGGGCGAAAGCCUGACGCAGCCAUGCCGCGUGAAUGAUGAAGGUCUUAGGAUUGUAAAAUUUUUUCACCGGGGACGAUAAUGACGGUACCCGGAGAAGAAGCCCCGGCUAACUUCGUGCCAGCAGCCGCGGUAAUACGAAGGGGGCUAGCGUUGCUCGGAAUUACUGGGCGUAAAGGGCGCGUAGGCGGACAGUUUAGUCAGAGGUGAAAGCCCAGGGCUCAACCUUGGAAUUGCCUUUGAUACUGGCUGUCUUGAGUACGGGAGAGGUGAGUGGAACUCCGAGUGUAGAGGUGAAAUUCGUAGAUAUUCGGAAGAACACCAGUGGCGAAGGCGACUCACUGGCCCGUUACUGACGCUGAGGCGCGAAAGCGUGGGGAGCAAACAGGAUUAGAUACCCGAGUAGUCC
rnacentral:rRNA from 1 species